rnacentral:rRNA from 1 species
AUGGUGGGUUGGCGGCGGGCCUAACACAUGCAAGUCGAGCGGUAGAGAGUAGCUUGCUACUCUUGAGAGCGGCGGACGGGUGAGUAAUGCCUAGGAAUCUGCCUAGUGGUGGGGGAUAACGUUCGGAAACGGACGCUAAUACCGCAUACGUCCUACGGGAGAAAGCGGGGGACCUUCGGGCCUCGCGCCAUUAGAUGAGCCUAGGUCGGAUUAGCUAGUUGGUGAGGUAAUGGCUCACCAAGGCUACGAUCCGUAACUGGUCUGAGAGGAUGAUCAGUCACACUGGAACUGAGACACGGUCCAGACUCCUACGGGAGGCAGCAGUGGGGAAUAUUGGACAAUGGGCGAAAGCCUGAUCCAGCCAUGCCGCGUGUGUGAAGAAGGUCUUCGGAUUGUAAAGCACUUUAAGUUGGGAGGAAGGGUAGUAACUUAAUACGUUGCUACUUUGACGUUACCGACAGAAUAAGCACCGGCUAACUUUCGUGCCAGCAGCCGCGGUAAUACGAAGGGUGCGAGCGUUAGUCGGAAUUACUGGGCGUCAAGCGCGCGUAGGUGGU